UACGUAGGGUGCAAGCGUUGUCCGGAAUUAUUGGGCGUAAAGAGCUCGUAGGCGGUCUGUUGCGUCGGCUGUGAAAACCCGGGGCUCAACUCCGGGCCUGCAGCCGAUACGGGCAGACUAGAGUUCGGUAGGGGAGACUGGAAUUCCUGGUGUAGCGGUGAAAUGCGCAGAUAUCAGGAGGAACACCGGUGGCGAAGGCGGGUCUCUGGGCCGAUACUGACGCUGAGGAGCGAAAGCGUGGGGAGCGAACAGG
rnacentral:rRNA from 1 species